UUGAUCGCUGGCGGCAGGCCUAACACAUGCAAGUCGAGCGGAUGACGGGAGCUUGCUCCUUGAUUCAGCGGCGGACGGGUGAGUAAUGCCUAGGAAUCUGCCUGGUAGUGGGGGACAACGUUUCGAAAGGAACGCUAAUACCGCAUACGUCCUACGGGAGAAAGCAGGGGACCUUCGGGCCUUGCGCUAUCAGAUGAGCCUAGGUCGGAUUAGCUAGUUGGUGGGGUAAUGGCUCACCAAGGCGACGAUCCGUAACUGGUCUGAGAGGAUGAUCAGUCAAACUGGAACUGAGACACGGUCCAGACUCCUACGGGAGGCAGCAGUGGGGAAUAUUGGACAAUGGGCGAAAGCCUGAUCCAGCCAUGCCGCGUGUGUGAAGAAGGUCUUCGGAUUGUAAAGCACUUUAAGUUGGGAGGAAGGGCAGUAAGUUAAUACCUUGCUGUUUUGACGUUACCGGCAGGAUAAGCACCGGCUAACUCUGUGCCAGCAGCCGCCGUAAGAC
rnacentral:rRNA from 1 species